rnacentral:rRNA from 1 species
AUUGAACGCUGGCGGCAGGCCUAACACAUGCAAGUCGAACGAGUGGCGGACGGGUGAGUAAUGUCUGGGAAACUGCCUGAUGGAGGGGGAUAACUACUGGAAACGGUAGCUAAUACCGCAUACCAUCGGAUGUGCCCAGAUGGGAUUAGCUAGUAGGUGGGGUAACGGCUCACCUAGGCGACGAUUCCUAGCUGGUCUGAGAGGAUGACCAGCCACACGGGAACUGAGACACGGUCCAGACGCCUACGGGAGCCAGCAGGGGGGAGUAUUGUACAAUGGGCGCAAGCCUGUGGCAGCCACGCCGGGUGUGUGAGGAAGGCCGUCGGGUUGUAAAGUACUUGGAGCGUGGUGGCCUUGCCCGCAGAAGAAGCCCCGGCUAACUCCGUGCCAGCAGCCGCGGUAAUAC